rnacentral:rRNA from 1 species
GAUGAACGCUGGCGGUAUGCUUUACACAUGCAAGUCGUACGAGAGUUUUUAACUCAAGUGGCGGACGGGUGAGUAACACGUAAGAAUUUGCCUUUAGGAGGGGGAUAAUAACUGGAAACGGUUGCUAAUACCCCAUAUGCUUUCGAGUGAAAUGGAUUUUCCGCCUAGAGAGAAGCUUGCGGCUGAUUAGCUUGUUGGUAAGGUAAUGGCUUACCAAGGCGACGAUCAGUAUCUGGUUUGAGAGGAUGAUCAGACACACUGGAACUGAGACACGGUCCAGACUCCUACGGGAGGCAGCAGUGGGGAAUUUUCCGCAAUGGGCGAAAGCCUGACGGAGCAAUACCGCGUGAGGGAUGACGGCCUAUGGGUUGUAAACCUCUUUUUUCAGGGAGGAAGAAAAUGACGUGUACCUGAAGAAUAAGCAUCGGCUAACUCCGUGCCAGCAGCCGCGGUAAGACGGAGGAUGCAAGUGUUAUCCGGAAUCACUGGGCGUAAAGCGUCUGUAGGUGGUCAAAUAAGUCAACUGUUAAAUCUCGAGGCUCAACCUCGAAAUCGCAGUCGAAACUAU